rnacentral:tRNA from 1 species
GGCGGCGUCGGGCGCGAAGCGCAGCUCGAACAGGCUGGCGGCCUGCUCGUCGAACAGGCGCUGUUCGAUGUGGCGCACCGCCGCC